rnacentral:rRNA from 1 species
UCGAUUAGAGUUUGAUUAUGGCUCAGGACGAACGCUGGCGGCGUGCUUAACACAUGCAAGUCGAACGGAAAGGCCCGCUUGCGGGUACUCGAGUGGCGAACGGGUGAGUAACACGUGGGCAACCUGCCCUCAGCUCUGGGAUAACUCCGGGAAACCGGGGCUAAUACUGGAUAUCAAUUUCUGGCCGCAUGGUUGGUUGUUGAAAGUUUUUCGGCUGGGGAUGGGCCCGCGGCCUAUCAGCUAGUUGGAGGGGUAGAGGCCCCCCAAGGCGACGACGGGUAGCUGGUCUGAGAGGAUGAUCAGCCACACUGGCACUGGAACACGGGCCAGACUCCUACGGGAGGCAGCAGUGAGGAAUUUUGCGCAAUGGCCGCAAGGCUGACGCAGCAACGCCGCGUGGGUGAAGAAGGCCUUCGGGUCGUAAAGCCCUGUCAGGUGGGAAGAAAGGCUUUAGGGAGAAUAUGCCUGAAGUUUGACGGUACCACCAGAGGAAGCACCGGCUAACUCCGUGCCAGCAGCCGCGGUAAUACGGAGGGUGCGAGCGUUAUUCGGAAUUACUGGGCGUAAAGCGCGUGUAGGCGGGGAUACGAGUCUGAUGUGAAAGCC